CCUGGAUCCAGAAUCUGUUCACUAGUGGCUUAAAAGACUAAAUAUGGAAGGUGACAUCAUUUCCUAAAAGUGGGUCCCCUAUGAAGCAUGAGUAAGACUGUGGAUGGAUUCUGAGAAGCUGUCAAGGCCCAGAGUAUGGCUUCUCCUUCACUGCCACUCAGCUGGCUUGAGAGAAAGGGAGACUAAGAUUGAGCUGGUAAUGAGUGAUACCCAUGAGAAGAUCCAUGGACAGAACAAGAAGCACCCCCACAGAGCAGCAAAUGUAAACUACAUAACCAGCAAAGAUAAGUGUGCCCUCAGUUUCCAAGAGGUAAACCUCCUGAUUUUGCAAAGUAUUUAAAUUGGCUCACAAGGGAUACACUCAACACUAUAAAAAAUAAACGUAUGUAAAAAUCCAGGAGCAGAGAAAUCCAGUCUCUUUCAGAUCUAAUAAUCUCCAAAACUAUGGACUUACAGCACAUAAGAAACUGCAUAGAUAUAAACUGCAGCAAAGCCCUGCAUUGGAUACUCAGAAUAUUUUCAUUUCAUCUAUCAGAAACCCUUGUGUCAAGAUAAUUUAUUUGACUCGACUUUCAGGAAUUCAGCAUCAUAGCUAUAUUCAUGUGAAUAAAUCCAGAGUUCUUUCAGAUUCUAACCAGCCAAGUAUGGGAAAACAGAAAAUGGUGAUAUUUAACAUUUCAAAUUUAUCAUACAGGAAGCCUAUCAUGUGCAUCUGAAGGGAGAGUUUUCAGAUGGAAAUUGUUGAUAGGUAAUUCCUUCAAAUCAAUCAUACUUGAGAAAGAAACAGAACCUGGAUUCUCAACGUACUAUUUUAAACCAGCCAAUUUAUAUCAGCAUCUCCCAGGUAAAGGACACCAUUCAAUAUCGGAAUUAGAAGCAUUCUAUUCAUUUUCCCCCUGCAGCCAGGGAAAGAGAAAGAGGAGUGCAGAGGCAGAGACUCAAACAACUCUAGAUGCAGCAAUUCUCUAGCCGCUGAGCAAUGAGGUUUCAGACGCUGCUGGAGGACCCAUUCAUCUUAAUCCAUCUGGAAAGAGGGCUACGCGCAAUAUUUCACAAUCUAAGUACUUUCUGACAAAUCUAUUAAUUAUGCACUCAAACAAAUUAUUUGCUGCCUGUGGAGAAUUGCUACUGGAUUUUCUCUUGUGCCAGAUCCACGUUCUCUUUUCUGCUUUUAACUCAUUGCUGUCAUUGGCACAGUCAUCUCGCUCCCCUGUUUUAAGCAUCUAACAUUUUAAAUUAGAACGUGGUCAUUACUACAGAGAAGCCACAGGAGGUUAAGGGAACAUGACAGUGAAGAGCUGAAUGAUAUUUUCUUUCUGCCUCCUCCCUGACACCUUUUGUCUUCCAUUCUAUUCUGUAGCAAAGCAUAUGGAAGACAUCUCUUCUACAUGCUAGAACAAUAGAUGAGACCAUUAGUUUGUGGCUUACUCAUGCUUCUCAUCCACAACUUUGACUUUGGUUCCUCAGUUCUAAAGACAAGUCCUCCUCCACAACUUAUAAAAUUAACAACUCUAUAAAACAUGCAUGGUGUGUGGAAGGAAAAAAAAUACAUAGUUACAACUUAUUCUCUACUAAUUUGAUCAUUACAUUUUAGUUCUAGCACACUAUUUAAAGAUCUCAGAUUUUUUUAAAAAGUAAUUUCCUAGCCUUAGAGAUACUACAUACAAUUCUAGAAAGCUACUGAAGACAAAAGAUAAAAAUGAAAGUCAUGCGUAAUACCAGCUGUUAAAAAUAUGUGUAUGUCUUUCUAGUCCUUUUAUAUAUGUACAGAAUAUAUAUGCUUAUAUUGAAAAACAUG